CUAUAAUGUUGUUGAUCAAAUGUUUGACUUGAAAAAAGCAUGUAGACAAAUACAAUACUGAAGAA